GCAGACGGGUGAGUAAUGUAUAGGAAUCUACCUAGUAGUACGGAAUAAUUGUUGGAAACGACAACUAAUACCGUAUACGCCCUACGGGGGAAAAAUUUAUUGCUAUUAGAUGAGCCUAUAUUAGAUUAGCUAGUUGGUGGGGUAAUAGCCUACCAAGGUAAUGAUCUAUAGCUGAUCUGAGAGGAUGAUCAGCCACACUGGAACUGAGAUACGGUCCAGACUCCUACGGGAGGCAGCAGUGGGGAAUAUUGGACAAUGGGCGAAAGCCUGAUCCAGCCAUGCCGCAUGAGUGAAGAAGGCCUUUGGGUUGUAAAGCUCUUUUAGUGAGGAAGAUAAUGACGGUACUCACAGAAGAAGUCCUGGCUAACUCCGUGCCAGCAGCCGCGGUAAUACGGAGAGGGCUAGCGUUAUUCGGAAUUAUUGGGCGUAAAGGGCGCGUAGGCUGGUUAAUAAGUUAAAAGUGAAAUCCCGAGGCUUAACCUUGGAAUUGCUUUUAAAACUAUUAAUCUAGAGAUUGAAAGAGGAUAGGGGAAUUCCUGAUGUAGAGGUAAAAUUCGUAAAUAUUAGGAGGAACACCAGUGGCGAAGGCGUCUAUCUGGUUCAAAUCUGACGCUGAAGCGCGAAGGCGUGGGGAGCAAACAGGAUUAGAUACCCUGGUAGUCCACGCUGUAAACGAUGAAUGUUAAAUAUGGGGAGUUUACUUUCUGUAUUACAGCUAACGCGUUAAACAUUCCGCCUGGGGACUACGGUCGCAAGAUUAAAACUCAAAGGAAUUGACGGGGACCCGCACAAGCGGUGGAGCAUGUGGUUUAAUUCGAUGCAACGCGAAAACCAAGUCACU
rnacentral:rRNA from 1 species